UACGAAGGGGGCUAGCGUUGUUCGGAAUUACUGGGCGUAAAGCGCACGUAGGCGGCUUUGUAAGUUAGAGGUGAAAGCCCGGAGCUCAACUCCGGAACUGCCUUUAAGACUGCAUCGCUUGAAUCAUGGAGAGGUCAGUGGAAUUCCGAGUGUAGAGGUGAAAUCCGUAGAUAUUCGGAAGAACACCAGUGGCGAAGGCGACUGACUGGACAUGUAUUGACGCUGAGGUGCGAAAGCGUGGGGAGCAAACAGG
rnacentral:rRNA from 1 species